CUUUCCAGUCAGGUCAAAACUCCAAUGUAAAAUAAUAUUAACACACAGGAAUGCUGGAAAUGAUGAACGACUGCAUUUGUAAUUGAGUGAUAAAAUUAUAUUUAUUUAAAUUUUCGUCUGUCUACAACAGACUUCAUCAGAAAAUGACAAUGAUAAAAGAAUCUGCUAAAAAAGUUUUUAUGAAAGUAGAUAUAAUUGCUGUAAUUAAAAGAUAUAAUUGCUGUAAUAAAAAGCUAAUAAAAAAUGUUAAAAACAACAGCGAUGGAGAUGAAAGAAAACUAAAAACUACGAUGGAGUGUAAAAGGUAAAAGGAGAGCAGGUUUAAAAUUUAUUAAAAGUCACCAAUCGCCAAUUAAAUUUUUCUGUAUAUGUUUCGUAAGUUGAGAAUACAGGACUCCCAGAAAAAAAAAAACAGGAUGUGUGGCCGUUGCAAGCCUUGUUUGUAAUACAACAACAAUCAAUCCGUAGCUAGACAUUGUAUAGGUUAUCUGUUACUUGAUGUGUAUUAAUUAAGUUUCUCUAAUAAUUAACUUAAUGUGUAUAAGUUGCGUAAAUGAAGUUAGAACAAAAUAAAAUUGUUUAAAAAGCCUUAAACAAAGUGGCUCCUGACUGUAAGCAUAAAUAGUACUCUGACUGGGCAUAUUUUAUUUCCGAUGUUGAAAGCAGAGGGUUUCCAUGGUCUGUUUUAAUGGAAUUUUUUGUCAUUGGCGCAAAGUUAUCCAAUACUUCUAAUAAAAAUGAUUUAUAAUGCUAAGAUGUUUCAAAGCGUGGCGUGUACAAACAUUUGGUUUAGUAUCUCCUAAUGUAGCAAGGGAACACUUUCAAAAGAAACUUCUAAUCAAGUACAUUAAAAUAUGGCACAAUUCUUAUAAGCAAAACAGAAAAGACUGGAAACUUCAGAUAAGAGCAGAAUAUCAUGACAGGUUCCGGCUGUGGAAGAUGUCAUUUCAGCAAUGGAAGGCAUUCCUAUCUCACAGAAAAAUGAAAAAGAUGCUUGUUCAACGUACAAUUGAGCAUGCUCAACAUAAAUUAAAAGAAAGAUCAUUUUCAAAUUUAAGAAUGUAUUUGGUGAUAAAGAGGAUGAGGAAAGAAGAACACGAAGCUGCUGAUAUGUUUUAUAAAAAAUCAAAUCUCAGAAAAUACUGGCGGUUAUGGCUACUACAGUUUAAUAACGAGUGUUUACUUCAUAAUAUGAGUUACACAGCACUCCAACAUUGGGCUAAUACUAUGGUCAAAAAGAUGUUUAUAAGAUGGAAAGACCAAUUCAAGAAUAGAUGUGACUUAAAUCAGAAAUUAACUCACUGUACAGCUUUCUACAAUCAAAAAUUAAUUUAUAUUGCCGUGUGCAAUUGGAAGAAAUUUAUACGUUUAAAAAAAGAAAGAAAACACUUGCAAGAACAUGCUGAACAAACGUACACAAAAAAGAUUUUACAAAGAACCUUCAUACAAUGGAAACGUUCCCAUCAACUCUGUUUACAUGUAAAACAAGUAGAAGAACGUAUUGUAAAGCUGGGUGAAUUAUCUAUCAAGCGAAGAUAUUUCAAUAGAUUUGUGACAUUUAUAACCUUGAAAAAAGAGAUGGAUUUGAAGUUCACGCAAGCUAAUAAAAUGUAUGAAACAACUGUCAAAAAAGGUGUGAUCAAAGGACUGAAAGAUGUUGUAAGAAACAGUCAGAUUAAAACUGAAACUAAAAGAAAAGCAAACGACUUUUACGUGAGGAGGGUGAUGGUUGUUUGUUUUUCAAAGUGGCUGUUAAAAUGUGAAAACAGAGAAGAAAUUAAACAAUAUCCGGUGUCUAAAAUAGCAUAUUCAUAUUUCAGAACAAGGCAGCUAAGCAAAGCAAUUUUCCAAUGGCUAAAAUUUGUUAAGGAACGAAAACAAGAAGCUGCGCUGGAAAGUCUUGCUGAAAACCAUCAUAACAAAAUAAUACUACCAAGAUACUUUAUUAAUUGGAUUGACUUUACUCAUUUACAAAAGAGUAUAAAAGAAAGACAAACUGUUGCAGCGGCUUUUAAUAGGACGUUGUUACAUUCAAAAUAUUUUUAUACUUGGUUAAAAUGUUAUCAGCUGGAACUAAUACAACAACAGAUGAUCACCGAGGCUAGUGAUUAUUAUUCAGAAUCCAUGACGAAAAGAAUUUUUAAUUUAUGGAGGAAGAAAACGAAUUUCAAGCAAUUUGUUGCUGAUCUUGAGAAUCGUGCUGUUAUUCAUCGAAACCGGUCACUACUUCAAAGUGCUUUACAAAAUUGGAAUAUUCGUUUCCAAGAAAAAGUUUCUUGUGACGCUAAAAUGACUGCUGCUUCUAUAAAUUAUGAACAUGGUUUAAAAAAAAAAUGUUUGGUUGGUUUAAAAAAGUAUUUGUAUCAUUGUCGAAAAAAGAAGUUAAAAGAAAAACAAGCCUUGCAACACUAUAACUAUAAACGUCUCAAGAAAGUCAUGAUAUUGUGGAAGAGUUAUCAUGCCACAACAAAACAGACUAUAGUGCUUGCUGAGCAGAGGUAUAUUGAAAAAUCUCAAAUCUUGUGCAGUUGGGUGAUGUACACUUGGAUCAAGUUUGUUAAAAUCCAGAAGAAGGAAAAAGAGUUGUUUCUGAAAGCAGAGUUACAUUUCUGUCGUGUUCUUAAAAAAAAGAUUCUUCGUCACCUUGGACAAUAUGCGUCUGUUAGGUGUGAAAGAAGAUUUAACAUUGACGAAGCUGUCGUGAGAGCACAGAUCAGGUUAGAAAAAGUAAAACUGAGAACGCUAUUCGGCUCAUGGAGAAAAACUGCUAGCAUUGUGCAUAGUGAGAAGAAGAAUUCAACAAUAGCUGUCCAGCACUACUCUUGUGUAAUGUAUAAGAAAGUGUUAACAAGCUGGAAGAGUUAUGUUGCUACGUCAUUUAAAAUAAAGCAUUUGACAGCAUACAGUAUGAUGUUUGCAACAAGAAGCAUCGAGAAAAGACAUUUCUCUAUUUGGAAGUCAAAAUAUCUACGUCUUGCUGAAGAGGAUAGGAAAACAAACACAGCGAUAUGGUGGUGGAGUUAUCAACUGCGAAGAAAAGUGUUUACAGCGAUACACGAAUAUACAAAAUCUAAAGUAAAAAAGAAACUGAAAUAUCGAAGCGCUUUGACUUAUCGUAAAAAUAUGUUGCUGGAAAUUGGUGCAACAAAAUGGAUUCAGUAUGCUGUACACGCGAUGGAUACUCGACGUAAUAUAGCCUAUCAACAUCAAGUAAAAAAAUCGAUGGAACUUCAAUCACGUGUCCACAAAUAUGCUUUGCAUUGGUUAAAUAGAACACAAAUGAAGAAAACAAGUAUUUUAACAGAAAACAGGGGUGUGUUAAAAGGAAAACAAAGCAAUGAUUCUGAUCGUGCAUGUUUGGAUCAAAUGUCGACAUUUCGUGCUGUCAAGUUUCCAGAUACAAAGGAACGCCCUUCCCCACGCCUUCCAGAUUACCUGCGCGAAUCAUUUGACCUCUCCGCGUUCAAAAAAGACAUUACCACCCUGCAUAUGUCAACUCAGUGUAUAUCACGAUACAGUAGCCAACGCUAUGACAACAUUCCAAGACCACACACUUACGUUCCAACUCUCCAUUCACCUGUCAUAAAUCCCAUGGAAAGAGCGUCUAGUGACUCACUAAAAUUAUUGGAAUUGACAAACGACGAGAACAAUCAAUCGACUAUCGGUCAGAAGGCGAUCCUGCUACCUCCUUCCACGUUCACCACUUGUUGAGCGGGUAAACGUUGGUGGAGAUGAUACCAUGUCUGCAAGACGUCAACAAGUUUGUUGUGGUGUUACCAUUGGUGGCUGAAAUUGUGAAGCUACAAAAAAGGGCUGGUACCUAAUAUUGUAUUUAUAUUUAUAAUAAUUACAUUUUUUUAUAUUUUAAAUGUUAUGAAAAAGUAGUAAGAAAUGAA